AUUGAACGCUGGCGGCAUGCCUUACACAUGCAAGUCGAACGGUAACAGGUCUUCGGAUGCUGACGAGUGGCGAACGGGUGAGUAAUGCAUCGGAACGUGCCCAGUAGUGGGGGAUAGCCCGGCGAAAGCCGGAUUAAUACCGCAUACGACCUGAGGGUGAAAGGGGGGGAUCGCAAGACCUCUCGCUAUUGGAGCGGCCGAUGUCAGAUUAGCUAGUUGGUGGGGUAAAGGCCUACCAAGGCAACGAUCUGUAGUUGGCCUGAGAGGACGACCAGCCACACUGGGACUGAGACACGGCCCAGACUCCUACGGGAGGCAGCAGUGGGGAAUUUUGGACAAUGGGCGCAAGCCUGAUCCAGCAAUGCCGCGUGCAGGAAGAAGGCCUUCGGGUUGUAAACUGCUUUUGUCAGGGAAGAAAUCUUCUGGGUUAAUACCUCGGGAGGAUGACGGUACCUGAAGAAUAAGCACCGGCUAACUCUGUGCCAGCCGCCGCAGUAAGAC
rnacentral:rRNA from 1 species